rnacentral:rRNA from 1 species
UACGUAGGGUGCGAGCGUUGUCCGGAAUUAUUGGCGUAAAGAGCUCGUAGGCGGUGUGUCGCGUCGGCCGUGAAACCUGGGGCUUAACUCUGGGCGUGCGGUCGAUACGGGCAUCACUGGAGUUCGGCAGGGGAGACUGGAAUUCCUGGUGUAGCGGUGAAAUGCGCAGAUAUCAGGAGGAACACCGGUGGCGAAGGCGGGUCUCUGGACAACUCCUGACGCUGAGGCACGGAAAGCCUAGGGGAGCAAACAGG